rnacentral:tRNA from 1 species
GCCUGGGUGGCUCAGUCGGCUGAGCAUCUGACUCUUGAUUUCGGCUCAGGUCACAAUCUUGGGGUUGUGGGAUCAAUCCCCACAUCAGGCU